GCUGUGGUGGCCGAGUGGUUAAGGCGAUGGACUUGAAAUCCAUUGGGUUCUACCCGCACAGGUUCGAAUCCUGUCCGCAGCG
rnacentral:tRNA from 1 species